GCGCAAGUGGCGGAAUUGGUAUACGUGCUGGUCUCAGAAGCCAGUGGGGCAACCCUUAGGAGUUCGAGUCUCCUCUUGCGCA
rnacentral:tRNA from 1 species